rnacentral:lncRNA from 1 species
UCGAAAUGCGGCCGCCGUGGCCGGGAUUCAAUCCCGCGACCUGGUGCUUAGCAGCCCAACAACAUAGCCACUAGGAACCACGGCAGGUUUUAAAGAAAGCAAUGA